AACAGAAGCGCUAACUUUCAAUUGACGUUUAUUGUGAUAUGAGCCCAAGAAAUUUUGCUCAGAUGCAACGAGCUUUUUCGAACGUAUAGUUUCGCGUGCAUUUCUCUGAAUCUUUACAAUAAGUAUGCGCCAGGCUGCACGACUGUUAUGUUAGUUUUUCAAUCUGCUUUUACAAUUCCAGGCAACAGGGAUGCUAAGCAGCGAAGGCCGACCUAAGCAAGUUCUUCUAAAUGCAGUGAAUGAGGUUCAUUUUCGGAGGAAGAAGACAUGUCUGAGCCUGUAUUUCUUCGCAUUUUCGGCUGCAGUUUCUUCCUUACAACGCAAGCAGGGUACUUAUGAAGAAAGAAAAUUGAAAGAGGAAGAAAUUUGUCAUGCGGAAGGAAACUGAAUCUCCGGCAGCGGUCCUGGCCCCUGUGAGUGGGUGGAGCUUCGUCCUUCCUGGGACGCCCUUGCUUUGAACGUCCUGGCUUCACUGGUGGUACCUUAUCGCUCGCAGAUGCGCCCCAAGCAUCGCCUGGCCUGCCAUCAAUGCGCUGUUCUACCGAUUCUGCCGGCAACCCUUCCGCUGCCCUGCACAUCCACCAGGAGGCAUCGUGGUUCCGUGCCAUACAGCAUUUGUUCCACAACACCCAUGGCCAGCAACAUCAAGCUUCCGCCGGCCUUUAAACCUUCAACUCUGGACAUGCUUCGCCAGUGGGCCAUAGAGAAAGGCAUUCAACAAUAGUGGACACUCUCAUAGAGCCCAGCGGCCGAAUUGACUGUAGCGCACCAAGCGGAUGGGUUUAAGUCCCUCCGGAUUCGGUUUCGGGCGCGCGCCUCUUGAACGCCAGCUGGCACGGGCUGCGCUACUCGGCACGUUUUCUUCUACUGCUCAGUCGCGCGCUGUCUUAUUGCGGAAUCAUUCAUUUAAAAUGAUUGCGAAUGAUCUUUACAAGCCUCCCUCGAAUCUGUGCCACGUGCAAUUUCAUAAAGUAGACGAGAAACGCCUUGUAAAUGAGGAAAUGUUUAUUUCGCUCUAUAUAAAUGCUCGUUCGGGGCUUUUUGUGCAUUCCUCCAACGUUGUGGAACCAGGUAAGCAGCAGUAGUUCGCGUACGA